rnacentral:lncRNA from 1 species
GCAGAAAAAAUAAUUUCACGUCAUUUGACAAAAGUUCUGAGGAGAUGAGGUCGAGAUAUAUAUACUACAUGAAAACGCGGUUGUGGAGGCUGUUUCACCUACCAUUUUCAAAAUUUUCAGUUUUGUGUAUAUAUUAGAAUGGUAAUUUAUUCUGGAAUUACUUUAUUUUUAACCGGCUUAACUUUUUUAAUUUCUGUUUCGAUCAAAAAAUUUUAAAAUUUAAAUUUAGAAUAUAGAAAAAAAUAAAAUAAAAUAAAUUGAGGUGAUUAAUACUUGCCUUAAAUUACCAACUAUUAAAAGGAAAAGAAAUAAAAGUAUAUUGU